UACAGAGGUCUCAAGCGUUGUUAGGAUUCAUUGGGCGUAAAGGGUGCGAAGGAGGCGCUGUAAGUAGGGUGUGAAAUUUCGGAGCUUAACUCCGAAACUGCAUUCGAUACUGCGGUGCUUGAGGACUGGAGAGGAGACUGGAAUUCAUGGUGUAGCAGUGAAAUGCGUAGAGAUCAUGAGGAAGACCAGUGGCGAAGGCGGGUCUCUGGACAGUUCCUGACACUGAGGCACGAAGGCCAGGGGAGCAAACGGG
rnacentral:rRNA from 1 species